rnacentral:lncRNA from 1 species
UAUGCUGUAGCGUUAAGAUUUUCCUUCACUGUAACUAAGUGGUCUAGCCCAAACCAUUAAAAACAGCCCUAGACCAUUAUUCCUCCUCCAGCCAACUUUACAGUUGGCACUAUACAUUGGGGCAGGUAGUGUUCUCCCGGCAUCCGCUAAACCCAAAUUAGUCCGUUGGACUGUCAGAUGAUGAAGUGUGAUUCAUCACUCCAGAGAACGCAUUUCCACUGCACCAGAGUCCAAUGGUGGCGAGCUUUACACUACUUCAGCCAACGCUUGGCAUUGCGCAUGGUGAUCUUAGGCUUGUGUGCGGCUGCUUGGCCAUGGAAACCCAUUUUAUGAAGCUCCCGACGAACAGUUCUUGUGUUGACAUUGCUUCCAGAGGCAGUUUGGAUUUCGGUAGCGACUGUUCCAGUAGAAGACACCAUUUUUACACGUUAAACGCUUCAGCACUCGGCGGUCCCGUUCUGUGAGCUUGUGUGGCCUACCACCUCCUGGCAGAGCUGUUGCUGCUCCAAGACAUUUCCACUUUACAAUAACAGCACUUACUGUUGAUUGGGGCAGCUCUAUCCUAUGACGGUGCCACAUUGAAAGUCACUGAGCUCUUCAGUAAGGCCAUUCUACUGCUAAUGUUUGCUGUGGAGAUUGCAUGUCUGUCUGCUCGAUUUUAUACAACUGCCAGCAAUGGGCGUGGCUGAAACAGCCAAAUCCGCUAAUUUGAAAAUACACAAAUACUUUUGUGUAUAUAUAGUGUUUGUUAAAAGUUGUCUUCUAGCCUACUCUUCCUCAUCAGGAGGGACCUACUGUAACACUCCUCAUGGACCCUAUUAAUCAGGUGUGUUCAAAAGUGGCUCCCCAGGAGGGGUUGGUAACUCCUGAUGUAGGUUCAAUGCAGAAGGAACAGAGUGGAGUCAUUAAGAAAAUAGAUUCAAUGACCAAUAAAGAUGUAGAUUAUGAUCCAUUUUUAUCAAGUGAAGUCGUACGAUACCGGUCAAAGGUUUUAGUACAACUACUCAUUCAUGGUUUUUCUUUAUUUUGACUAUUUUCUACAUUGUAGAAUAAUAGUGAAGACAUCAAAACUAUGAAAUAACACAUAUGGAAUCAUGUAGUAACCAAAAAAAGUGUUACACAAAUCAAAAUAUAUUUGAGAUUCUUCAAAGUAGCCACCCUUUGCCUUGAUGACAGCUUUGCACUCUUCACAUUCUCUCAACCAGCUUCAUGAGGUAGUCACCUGGAAUGCAUUUCAAUGAACAGGUGUGCCUUGUUAAAAGUUCAUUUGUGGAAAUUCUUUCCUUCUUAAUGCAUUUGAGCCAAUCAGUUGUGUUGUGACAAGGUGGGGGGGGGGUGCAGUCGCAAAAAAACAUCAAGGGCUAUGAUGAAACUGGCUCUCAUGAGGACCACCACAAGAAUGGAAGACCCAGAGUUACUUCUGCUGCAGAGGAUAAGUUCAUUAAAGUUAUCAGAAAUUGUAGCCCAAAUAAAUGCUUCACAGAGUUCAAGUAACAGACAUCUCAACAUUAAGUGUUCAGAGGAUACUGUGUGAAUCGGGCCUUCAUGGUCGCAUUGCUGCCAAGAAAUCACUACUAAAGAACACCAAUGAGAAGAAGAGACUUGCCUGGGCCAAGAAACACGAGCAUUGGACAUGAGACCGGUGGAAAUUUGUCCUUUGGUCUGGAUUUUUGGUUCCAACCGCUGUGCUUUGUGAGACGCGGUGUGGGUGAAUGGAUGAUCUCCGCAUGUGUAUUUCCCACCGUAAAGCAUGGAGGAGGUGUUAUGAUGUGGGGGUGCUUUGCUGGUGACACUGUCUGUGAUUUAUUUAGAAUUUAAGAAACACUUAUCGCUGCAGAAUGCUGGUUACGCCAUCCCAUCUGGUUUGGGCUUAGUGGGACUAUCAUUUGUUUUUCAACAGGACAAUGACCGAACAGACCGGCAGGCUGCGUAAGGGCUAUUUUAUUAAAGGAGGAGAGUGAUGCAUCAGAUGACCUGGCCUCCAAAAUCCCCAGACCUCAACCAAAUUAAGAGGGUUUGGGAUGAGUCGGACCGCAGAGUGAAGGAAAAGCAGCCAACAAGUGCUCAGCAUAUGUGGGAAGUCCUUCAAGACUGUUGGAAAAGCAUUCCAGGUGAAGCUGGUUGAGAGAAUGCCAAGAGUGUGCAAAGCUGUCAUCAAGGCAAAGGGUGGCUACUUUGAAGAAU